rnacentral:rRNA from 1 species
ACUCCUACGGGAGGCAGCAGUGGGGAAUAUUGCACAAUGGGGGAAACCCUGAUGCAGCCAUGCCGCGUGUGUGAAGAAGGCCUUCGGGUUGUAAAGCACUUUCAGUAGGGAGGAAGGUAGUGUAGUUAACACCUGCACUAUUUGACGUUACCUACAGAAGAAGCACCGGCUAACUCCGUGCCAGCAGCCGCGGUAAUACGGAGGGUGCGAGCGUUAAUCGGAAUUACUGGGCGUAAAGCGCAUGCAGGCGGCCUGUUAAGUCAGAUGUGAAAGCCCGGGGCUUAACCUCGGAAUUGCAUUUGAAACUGGCAGGCUAGAGUCUUGUAAGAGGGGGGUAGAAUUUCAGGUGUAGCGGUGAAAUGCGUAGAGAUCUGAAAGGAAUACCAGUGGCGAAGGCGGCCCCCUGGACAAAGACUGACGCUCAGAUGCGAAAGCGU